GCGCGAAAAAGCCGUUCUCAUAACAAAACACUGUCUAUAACCAUAUUACAAUAAUAAACUCUUGAUCUUUUGAUUUCUUGAGCAUAUUGUAAUUUUAUACAUUACAAAAUAAGUGCAAAGAUAAAAAUUUAUUAAGUUAUAUUAGGAGUAAAAUAAAAUUAUUUAGGAGUCUGUUUUAUUACAGUUUUAUCACUGUUAAAUGAUUUAUGCCGCAUUAUUUGCUCAAAAUCCAUAACUGUACUGUAAUUAUUACAAGUAAAUAUGAAUAACGCACGAAAAAGGAAACUGUUACCAUCUAAACGUCGUAUUAGACGUAUUAGACGAAUUAUUGCAGAUAAAACAGGCAUUGACAUUGCAGCAUGUUGUGAAGAAUCUCAAAAGAAGCGUAUAUCUGUAUUUCUAUUGAAGAUCCCUGCGAUUCAGAUGUAAUUGAAAUUUUUAAUAAGGGAACUCAUACAUUUGUACUAUACAUAGCACUAAUGUAGACAAUGAGAGAUUGUUUUCUAACAAUGAAUAUGCAAAUUAUCAUGGACAAUGUGAGACUAAUUUAUACAAAGGAAUAGUGAUAAUUUAUACAAUAUUACUACUGACAAUAUUAAGAGCAAUAAUAAAAGGGAAUUGAAGAACGCAAUUAAUAGUUACAUAGGCUAUUGUAAUGAGCCCUCACAAAUACAAACAUUAUUACAAACUUCAAGAAAAAAAAGAUAACGUCAGAUGUAAAGGAGAAUUUUAUCAUUGGCAUCUAGAUAAUUCAAAAAAAGUUAUUAAGAUAAAAUGUGAUAAAAUUAAAUCAAUUUACUUAUAAAUAUUAAUAGUCUUUUAUUAGGAAAAAUCAAACGUUUAUCAUAACCAAUUUUAUGCUCAAAUUGAAAAUAUGGUGUGCAACAACAUGUUUACUACUGCAGUCUUGGACAAAGAUGUUGAUUCAUUCAUUCAAAGCAAGAAUAUGUUACAGCGAUGUUUGUGAUGAUAAAGAAGAUGAUAGUGAAGUAAGAAGAAUCUUCUUUCUGCUCAUGAAUUCAAAAUAUUAUACAAAUCUCAUUAAAACAAAAU